UCGAACCUGCCGCAGGUUCGGGUCUCACGUAGUGAGACAACGGAGCCGCUUGCGGCGACGGCCCGAAGGGCGAGCAAAGCGAGUCAUCCUGCACGACCCACCA
rnacentral:sRNA from 3 species